rnacentral:rRNA from 1 species
UACAGAGGGUGCGAGCGUUGUCCGGAAUCACUGGGCGUAAAGGGCGCGUAGGUGGCUGGGUAAGCGUGCGGUGAAAGCCUGGGGCUCAACUCCAGGUCGGCCGUGCGUACUGCCUAGCUUGAGCACGGUAGAGGCCGAUGGAAUUCCGGGUGUAGCGGUGGAAUGCGUAGAGAUCCGGAAGAACACCGGUGGCGAAGGCGGCCUGCUGGGCAGUGGCUGACACUGAGGCGCGACAGCGUGGGGAGCAAACAGG